rnacentral:lncRNA from 1 species
UUUUGAAGCACUGAAGAAAGCAAUUGAUACCAAUGGAAUGGAAGAACAGGAAAAGGAAAAGAGACGUCUUGUGAUAGAGAAGUUCCAGAAAGCACCAUUUGAAGAAAUAGCAGCACAGUGUGAAUCCAAAGCAAAUUUGCUUCAUGAUAGACUUGCUCAAAUAUUGGAGCUCACCAUACGGCCUCCUCCCAGUCCAUCUGGAACAUUGACUGUUACUUCUGGGCAUGCCCAAUACCAGUCCGUCCCGGUCUAUGAGAUGAAGUUUCCAGAUCUGUGUGUAUAUUAACUGGCUCAUGAAGACUACAGCAUUUAAAAAGGAUCUUAAAACCUGAAAAACAGGGCCAAGACGAGUUUCAGGAUUUGCAUAAGGCUUACUGGAAUGUCCUGAAGUGUUAUGGGACUUGUCUCUACCAACACUUGUCAUGCUGUAUUAGAGGUUUAGGGCCCCUGAUUUAGUACCUCUGGAGAUAAGCUUAUACCACAUUAAUUUGUUUCGAGGUUCCUGUUAGAUUUAAGACUGAACAUGUAUUGCUUUCACAUUAUGCUCUUGUUUAAUAGUAUAUUUUAAACUUUGCACAAACAUGAUUUUAAAAAAUGAUUGAAAAAUGUAUUAAGUGUCUGCUCCACUGCUUAAAAAUGGAUUGCUUUUAUUUUCUUUUCUUCAAAAGUAAAUAUAUUCCUAAUUUUAGGGUUGC